rnacentral:lncRNA from 1 species
UGAGUGUUGUAGCGAUGAUUCAAAUCUGUGAUAUUUGUAUCCUUUGUGUUAUUUCAUCAGCAUAAUUAUAAUCAUGUACUUACAUAUUCAUACAUAAAACACAACAUUAAAUAUUUCAUUAUGAAUUUUAUUACAUUUGACUCCUUUAUUCUGAUUCCCUGCUACGGUAAUAUUAUUUCCCCAUGCAGGUUUGGUAUGGUUAUCCUCCUUCAAUUGUAG